UCACUUCACAUUAAGCGGACGCGGCCUAUAUAGGUCGUGUCCGCAUUCGUGCGGGCUAUGGCGAUAAACUGCAGUGUGCAAUAGGCACAGCGGUCCCGGGGGCAGUAACCGGCGGCUCCACCACCUCCGGCGGUAUCGCGCUGGAAAUGCUGGGGCCGAACCAGGAUCGACGUGUGUUGAAAAGCACUGUUUUCGCCCGGGCUGAGUAACCCGCAUAAGGCUCACAACCCACAAGUGCCAACGAUAACGAAGCACUCGCAAUCGCCGCGUAAUUGAUGGGCUAACGCCCUGAUAUUACAAAGCUAAAAAGCGCGGUUGGACCGACCGGGCAACAGAACGGAUACC
rnacentral:tmRNA from 1 species